GACGAACGCUGGCGGCGUGCCUAAUACAUGCAAGUUGAGCGAUGAAGAUUGGUGCUUGCACCAAUUUGAAGAGCAACGAACGGGUGAGUAACGCGUGGGGAAUCUGCCUUUGAGCGGGGGACAACAUUUGGAAACGAAUGCUAAUACCGCAUAACAACUUUAAACAUAAGUUUUAAGUUUGAAAGAUGCAAUUGCAUCACUCAAAGAUGAUCCCGCGUUGUAUUAGCUAGUUGGUGAGGUAAAGGCUCACCAAGGCGAUGAUACAUAGCCGACCUGAGAGGGUGAUCGGCCACAUUGGGACUGAGACACGGCCCAAACUCCUACGGGAGGCAGCAGUAGGGAAUCUUCGGCAAUGGACGAAAGUCUGACCGAGCAACGCCGCGUGAGUGAAGAAGGUUUUCGGAUCGUAAAACUCUGUUGGUAGAGAAGAACGUUGGUGAGAGUGGAAAGCUCAUCAAGUGACGGUAACUACCCAGAAAGGGACGGCUAACUACGUG
rnacentral:rRNA from 1 species